GACGAACGCUGGCGGCGUGCUUAACACAUGCAAGUCGAACGGAAAGGCCCUGCUUUUGUGGGGUGCUCGAGUGGCGAACGGGUGAGUAACACGUGAGUAACCUGCCCUUGACUUUGGGAUAACUUCAGGAAAAUGGGGCUAAUACCGGAUAGGAGCUCCUGCUGCAUGUGGGGGGUUGGAAAGUGUCGGCGGUUGGGGCUGUACUCGCAGCUUAUCAGCUUCUUGGUGGGGUAGUGGAUGACCAAGGCUUUGACGGGUAGCCGGCCUGAGAGGGUGAACGGCCACAUUGGGACUGAGAUACGGACCAGACUGCUACGGGCGGCAGCAGUGGGGAAUAUUGCACAGUGGGCGGAAGCCUGAUGCAGCAACGCCGCGUGCGGGAUGACGGCCUUCGGGUUGUAAACCGCUUUCGCCUGUGACGAAGCGUGAGUGACGGUAAUGGGUAAAGAAGCACCGGCUAACUACGUG
rnacentral:rRNA from 1 species